CUUAAAGGUCUGGCAGUUGUUGAUGAGGGCGAUCAUGUACUGCACGUAGCACUGGGGCAGCUGCCGGUCCCGCAGGUGAUCCUCCUUGGCCGGAGCGUAGCAUCCAUCUCACCUGUGCAAGAAGGAGGUCAUCUGCUUCAGACACAGCUGCAGCACCUGGUCUUUGAAGGUCUCGUUAAUCUGCACCGCCACCUGGAGAUUCUGCUCGAACAUCUGAGAGAGGAGACAGACCAUAAUAACCCCAGAGAGGAGACGGACCAUAAGAACCC